rnacentral:rRNA from 1 species
UACGGAGGGUGCAAGCGUUAUCCGGAUUCACUGGGUUUAAAGGGUGCGUAGGUGGGCAGGUAAGUCAGUGGUGAAAUCCUGUAGCUUAACUACAGAACUGCCAUUGAUACUAUUUGUCUUGAAUACCCUGGAGGUGAGCGGAAUAUGUCAUGUAGCGGUGAAAUGCUUAGAUAUGACAUAGAACAUCUAUUGCGAAGGCAGCUCACUACGGGAAUAUUGACGCUGAGGCACGAAAGCGUGGGGAUCAAACAGG